GUUUUCUCUUCUGGCAGCCUCCGCUGGUGCAGAGGGAUGCGAGGCACUUUGCUGCCUGGCUCAGAGCGGGGCCUUGCUUUCCGAGGCCGGGGACCGGGUCUGUGCUACGCAGUCUCCAGAUGGCUGUGACGUAAAGAAGAAACAUCCUGCGUGGAUUUCUUAAGAAUAAACAGUCUCUAUUGGCUUUAAAGAGGAAUGCUGAAGAUUCUGUAAUAAUUGCAGUCAGACCCCCAUCCUAAUGCCAGCAUCCCCACCUUCUGUGGGGAAGACACACAGGAGCCCCCCUUAAGAUGCUGUGAGGUACAUAAGAAGGGUGUAGCAUUACAUAAAUCCCCUUUUUCCCACUAAAUCAUGGUAGAAUUCAUGCAGAUGUAAACCACGGCAUGCCAGUACAGCGCAGGCCAGCUUUCCCUGCAGAGCAUCCCUUUCCUCCCAGCCAGGUAAGUCACUUGACUAGCUCGCCUUCUAAUAAAGGUGCCUCAUCAUUU